rnacentral:siRNA from 1 species
UGGUCGCUGUGAUGGGAAGAGCUU